rnacentral:siRNA from 1 species
AGCCCAACAAGAAAACUCUUAGG